rnacentral:rRNA from 2 species
GAGUUUGAUCUUGGCUCAGAUUGAACGCUGGCGGCAUGCCUUACACAUGCAAGUCGAACGGCAGCACGGGAGCUUGCUCCUGGUGGCGAGUGGCGAACGGGUGAGUAAUGCAUCGGAACGUAUCCUGGAGUGGGGGAUAACGUAGCGAAAGUUACGCUAAUACCGCAUAUUCUGUGAGCAGGAAAGCGGGGGACCUUCGGGCCUCGCGCUCUUGGAGCGGCCGAUGUCGGAUUAGCUAGUUGGUGAGGUAAAGGCUCACCAAGGCGACGAUCCGUAGCAGGUCUGAGAGGAUGAUCUGCCACACUGGAACUGAGACACGGUCCAGACUCCUACGGGAGGCAGCAGUGGGGAAUUUUGGACAAUGGGGGCAACCCUGAUCCAGCCAUGCCGCGUGAGUGAAGAAGGCCUCGGUGUAA